GGUAUUCAUUAAUCCAGGAUUGUUGGGAGAAAAAGAAGAAACCGAAGCUGGUUUUGACACAGAAUUCUGCUAGAAUCACAUGAGGUCCGCAGAUGCCAAAUCCUGUUAAAGAGUCUAGGGUAAAUCUGCAGCGUGCUCAGUUCCACCCACCCCCACGCCCACUCCCACACACCCACCCCCGCAUCGGAUGUAGCCAAAGCCGCAGCUUGGAGAGCUCAGCUCUGCCCCCCUGGGAUAAGGAAGAAGAGGGGGCAGGGACACCUAUGUCAGAGCAUGCAGGUGGGAGUCAGAGGACAACUCGAAGGGGUCCAUUCUCUCCUUCUGCCAUAGACUCUCAUUGGCCUGGAACUUACCAGAAAGCUUCAGGAGGCCACCUGCCGCCACCUCUGCAGCCUGUGGUUGCAAGCAUGAGCAACCACGUGUUUUUGUUUUAAAUACCAGUUUCGGAGAUUGAAUUGAAGACCUAAGGCUUGCCCACAAGCAUUUACCAACUGAACUGUCACCUACGACACCCUGCCUUUUAGAGACAAGGUCUUGCCAGGUAGCUCAGGUUGGCCUUUGACUUGCAGUAACCCUCCUGCCUCAGCUUCCUCCAGGUCACAGUUCAUCAUCGGGGGACACCAAGGCAAGAACUCAAGGCAAGAAGCUGCAGGCAGAGCCUGAAGCAGAAGCCAUGGAGGAACACUGCUUACUGACUUGGUUUCCAUGGCUCACCUAUGUUAUGUAGGCCAGACUCACCUGCCCACGGAGGGUUGAACCCUCCUCCUUUAAUUAGCAGUCAAGAAAAAUCACCCGAGAUUACCUAUAGUCCAUGCUGACGGAACCACUUCCUCAACUGAAGUUCCCUCUUCCCAGGUCUGUCUAGCUGAUGUCUGAAGCUGACAGAAAGCUUACCACAAAUGAGUGCUGUGUUUUUUUAUUGUACACGCUUCUGCUGCAUCCACUGAGUGUGUGUGUGUGUAUGUGUGUGUAUGUGUGUGUGAGUGUGUGUGAGUGAGUAUGUGUAUGUGGGGGGGGGAGUGUGUGUGUGUGUGUAUGUGUGUGUAUGAGUGCAUGUGAGUGUGAGUGUAUGUGUAUGUGUGUAUGUAUAUCUGUGUAUGUCUGUGCGUGUGUAUGUGUGUGUAUGUGUGUGUAUGUGUGUGUGAGUGUGUAUUUGUGAGUGUGUAUGUGUGUGUGGUGUGUGUGGUAUGUGUAUGUGUGUGCAUGUGCAUGUGUGCAUGUGCGUGUGUGUAUAUGUGUGUGUGUAGUGUGUGUGUAUGUGUGUGUGAAUGUGUGUGGGAGUGUGUGUAUGUGAGUGCGUGUGUAUGUGUGUGUAUGUGUGUAUAUGUGUGAGAGUGUGUGAGUGUGAGUGUGUGUGAGUGUAUGUGUAUAUGUGUAUGUAUAUCUGUGUAUGUCUGUGUGUGUAUGUGUGUGUAUGUGCGUGUGAGUGUGUGAGUGUUUGUGAGUGUGUAUGUGUGUGUGAGUGUGUGAGUGUAUGUGUAUGUGUGUGCAUGUGCGUGUGUAUGUGUGUGUGUGAGUGUGUGAGUGUUUGUGAGUGUGUAUGUGUGUGAGUAUUUGUGAGUGUGUAUGUGUGUGUGCGUGUAUGUGUGUGUGUGUGUGUGUGUGUGUGUGUAGGUGCCCAUGAGUGCAGUGCCUGCCAAGGCCAGAAGAAGAUGCUACUCUCCUGCAGCUGGAGUUACAGGGAGCCCACAUGGGUGCUGGAAAUUGAACUUGGGUCCCCUGGAGGAGCAACAAGCCCUCUUAACUGCGUCUGUGGCUCGGGAUUCCACAUGUGGUUGGAAACAUCCCUUAAGGCUUCAGGCAUGGCAGCUGAAGUCAUCCUGAGUUUGUUCAACAUCUGCUAAGCUCACCAUUAGGAGGAUGGUAAAGAGUUCACCUCACUUUGGAAGUUACCUACAUAGAAAAAAAAAUCCUGAAAUUACCUUGGAAAUACGAAAGACCCCCAAAUGGCCAAAGUGAUCUUAAGCAUACGUCACAGUGCCAGAUUUCACAUCGCGCUGCAGGGCCACAGUGACACAAGCAACCCGAUGCUGGCACGUGCACAGACAUGUGGACCAAUGGAGCAGAACAGCAGGCAGAGAUAAAGCACAUGGCUGUGUGCACCGGAAGCUCAGCGACGAUGCCCAAAGCAUGCCUCGGAGAAAGGACAGCUUCUGCUCAGAUGGUGCUGGAAAAGUCAGACCCCCAGCUCUUGCUCAGCAGAAAAGCCAGCCCAGGAUCCGUCAAAGGCAGCGGUGUCAAACUUAACGGUUUCAAAAAACCAUCACGGGGAACAUACCUCAAGACACAGGCAUAGGCUUUCAGACUAGGACUUGGGUGGCCCAGGAGAUAAUAGCCAGCAUUGACAGUCACACGAGAUAAAAACCCACAUAGCAAAGGGAACGAUUUCUCGAUCACUGCACCCCACAAGGCUGCUCAGGACUUCCUUGGAGUCUGUGAGUUUCUUCAGAUUUACUUUCCUAUACUCUUUUUUUUUUUUUUUUUUUCAGAGCUGGGGACCGAACCCAGGGCCUUGCGCUUGCAAGAACCCAGGACCACCAGCCCAGUGAUGGUACCACCCACAACGAGCAGAGUCCUUCUCUCUCCCGUAAAUCAAGAAAAUGCCCUACAGGCUUCCCUAUGGUCUGAACUUAUGGAGGCAUUUUUUUUUUCUUUCAAAUGAGGCUCCCUCCUCUCUAAUGACUCUAGCUUGUGUCAAGUUCACAUAAAACUAGCCACCAUGACAUAUAUGGUGGCUUAACGACCAUACACAUACAAUAAAAUAAAAAGAAUUUAAAAAAAAAAGAAAGAAAUUGAAUGCAUGACCAGGCAUGGUGGCACACACUUGUAAUCCAAGUAUCUGGCAGGAGGAUCAUGAGUUCAAGGCUUGUCUGGGCUAUGUAGUGCCACGUGUUUCAAAACCAUAACAAAGAAGAAGGGAGGAGGAGGAGAAGGAGGGGUAAAGAGGAGGGAUGAGGAGUGGGGGGAAGAGAGGAGGAAGGAUAGGACUUGGAUCCAUGCUCUACUCUUUAAAAAAAACAAGAGGAGGCUGGAGUGAUGGCUCA
ensembl:lncRNA